rnacentral:rRNA from 1 species
GAUGAACGCUGGCGGCGUGCCUAAUACAUGCCAGUCGAGCGAACAGACGAGGAGCUUGCUCCUCUGACGUUAGCGGCGGACGGGUGAGUAACACGUGGAGAACCUACCUAUAAGACUGGGAUAACUUCGGGAAACCGGAGCUAAUACCGGAUAAUAUAUUGAACCGCAUGGUUCAAUAGUGAAAGACGGUUUUGCUGUCACUUAUAGAUGGAUCCGCGCCGCAUUAGCUAGUUGGUAAGGUAACGGCUUACCAAGGCAACGAUGCGUAGCCGACCUGAGAGGGUGAUCGGCCACACUGGAACUGAGACACGGUCCAGACUCCUACGGGAGGCAGCAGUAGGGAAUCUUCCGCAAUGGGCGAAAGCCUGACGGAGCAACGCCGCGUGAGUGAUGAAGGUCUUCGGAUCGUAAAACUCUGUUAUUAGGGAAGAACAAAUGUGUAAGUAACUAUGCACGUCUUGACGGUACCUAAUCAGAAAGCCACGGCUAACUACGUG